rnacentral:rRNA from 1 species
AUAGACCCGAAACCCGGUGAUCUAGCCAUGGGCAGGUUGAAGGUUGGGUAACACUAACUGGAGGACCGAACCGACUAAUGUUGAAAAAUUAGCGGAUGACUUGUGGCUGGGGGUGAAAGGCCAAUCAAACCGGGAGAUAGCUGGUUCUCCCCGAAAGCUAUUUAGGUAGCGCCUCGUGAAUUCAUCUCCGGGGGUAGAGCACUGUUUCGGCAAGGGGGUCAUCCCGACUUACCAACCCGAUGCAAACUGCGAAUACCGGAGAAUGUUAUCACGGGAGACACACGGCGGGUGCUAACGUCCGUCGUGAAGAGGGAAACAACCCAGACCGCCAGCUAAGGUCCCAAAGUCAUGGUUAAGUGGGAAACGAUGUGGGAAGGCCCAGACAGCCAGGAUGUUGGCUUAGAAGCAGCCAUCAUUUAAAGAAAGCGUAAUAGCUCACUGGUCGAGUCGGCCUGCGCGGAAGAUGUAACGGGGCUAAACCAUGCACCGAAGCUGCGGCAGCGACGCUUAUGCGUUGUUGGGUAGGGGAGCGUUCUGUAAGCCUGCGAAGGUGUGCUGUGAGG